AACACUUAAGCAACGUCCCCUAGGUUCUAUUUCUACACGGCUGCAUUUGAAAGACAGAAAAGAAGAGGGUUCCAAGAUACUAGAGCCACACAAUGGAAGAAGCAGGGGCCUCUGAGUGGUCAUCUGAAGGACAGAUCCAUUGGACGAGCCACCCAACUUUCUGACACUCCAUGAAAUGAGCAACUUUGGUUCACCGGGGGCCUUCUGCCAUGAUGUUCCUGCCUUGAAGACAGUCAACAAUGGACU